rnacentral:rRNA from 1 species
GCUCAAAUUUGAAAUCUGGCCCCCCCCGCGGGGGCCCGAGUUGUAAUUUGCAGAGGAUGCUUCUGGCGCGGCGCCUUCCGAGUUCCCUGGAACGGGACGCCACAGAGGGUGAGAGCCCCGUCUGGCGGCCGCCAAGCCUCUGUGAAGCUCCUUCGACGAGUCGAGUAGUUUGGGAAUGCUGCUCAAAAUGGGAGGUAUAUGUCUUCUAAAGCUAAAUACCGGCCAGAGACCGAUAGCGCACAAGUAGAGUGAUCGAAAGAUGAAAAGCACUUUGAAAAGAGGGUUAAACAGUACGUGAAAUUGUUGAAAGGGAAGCGCUCGCGACCAGACUCGGGCCCGGCGGAUCAUCCGGCGUCCUCGCCGGUGCACUCCGCCGGGCCCCCGGGCCAGCAUCGGCUCGCAGCGGGGGAUAAAGGCGGCGGGAACGUGGCCCCUCCGGGGGUGUUAUAGCCCGCCGCGCAAUGCCCCGCGUCGCGGGCCGACCGCGCCCCUGGCAAGGAUGCUGGCGUAAUGGUCGCCAGCGACCCGUCUUGAAACACGGACCAAGGAGUCGUCUUCGUAUGCGAGUGUUCGGGUGUCAAACCCCUACGCGUAAUGAAAGUGAACGUAGGUGAGAGCCCUCGCGGGCGCAUCACCGACCGAUCCUGAUGUUCUCGGAUGGAUUUGAGUAAGAGCAUACGGGGCCGGACCCGAAAGAAGGUGAACUAUGCCUGUGUAGGGUGAAGCCAGAGGAAACUCUGGUGGAGGCUCGCAGCGGUUCUGA